rnacentral:rRNA from 1 species
AUUGAACGCUGGCGGCAGGCUUAACACAUGCAAGUCGAGCGGAGAGAGGUAGCUUGCUACUGAUCUUAGCGGCGGACGGGUGAGUAAUGCUUAGGAAUCUGCCUAUUAGUGGGGGACAACAUUUCGAAAGGAAUGCUAAUACCGCAUACGUCCUACGGGAGAAAGCAGGGGAUCUUCGGACCUUGCGCUAAUAGAUGAGCCUAAGUCGGAUUAGCUAGUUGGUGGGGUAAAGGCCUACCAAGGCGACGAUAUGUAGCGGGUCUGAGAGGAUGGUCGGCCACACUGGGACUGCGACACGGCCCAGACUCCUGCGGGAUGCAGCAGUGGGGAAUAUUGGACAAGGGGGGGAACCCUGAUCCAGCCAUGCCGCGUGUGUGAAGAAGGCCUUAUGGUUGUAAAGCACUUUAAGCGGGGAGGAGGCUCUUUUGGUUAAUACCCAGAAUGAGUGGACGUUACUCGCAGAAUAAGCACCGGCUAACUCUGUGCAGCCGCCGCCGUAAAAC